rnacentral:misc_RNA from 1 species
AAUUGAUUUGGGUACCAUGCAUUAAAAAAAAUAAGUAAAACUUCGUGAAGGGUAAAAAAAAAGGAAGUUGUACAAAUAAUUAACAAAGAAGCAAGCCUUCACUUAUUUGCUUCAAUAAACUCUCUAUACUCUCUCUUCAUUUUAACACCUGAUACCGUCCUGAGCAUCUCCUUGUUCUUGAAAAACUGUACACAUGGAGUACCCAUAAUCCCAGCUGCCUCAGCAAUCUCUGGAUCUUCAGUAAUAUCAAUUUCAACAAGGUGGACAUCCUUGUCAAAUUCAUCUAUGACCUUGCUAAGAAUCGGUUUCAAGGUCCUACAUGGACCACAUGUUGGUGAUGUAUACAGCACACACAUAAGCCUUGGGCUCUCAUGGUACAAUUUCCGUAAUGCAUACUGGCCCUUGUGCUUUGUAAGUGUUAUAUCAAAACCUUCUUGUACAUCUUUCUCGGAGAGUUCCUUCUUAACUUCUUCAGUAGGGGGCUGGUGGAAUUCAAGAAGAAGAUUUUUGCUUGUCAGAUAUCUCUCAACUGAUAGAGCAGCUACACAUCCUGAGCCAGCUGCAGUGAUGGCUUGCCUCCAUUCAUGAUCCUGGACAUCUCCAGCUGCAAAUACACCUUCCACAGAUGUGUUUGCUGUGCCCUCCUUGACCAAUAUGUAGCCCG